rnacentral:rRNA from 1 species
CUACACAUGCAGUCGAGCGGAUGAGUGGAGCUUGCUCCAUGAUUCAGCGGCGGACGGGUGAGUAAUGCCUAGGAAUCUGCCUGGUAGUGGGGGACAACGUUUCGAAAGGAACGCUAAUACCGCAUACGUCCUACGGGAGAAAGUGGGGGAUCUUCGGACCUCACGCUAUCAGAUGAGCCUAGGUCGGAUUAGCUAGUUGGUGAGGUAAAGGCUCACCAAGGCGACGAUCCGUAACUGGUCUGAGAGGAUGAUCAGUCACACUGGAACUGAGACACGGUCCAGACUCCUACGGGAGGCAGCAGUGGGGAAUAUUGGACAAUGGGCGAAAGCCUGAUCCAGCCAUACCGCGUGGGUGAAGAAGGCCUUCGGGUUGUAAAGCCCUUUUGUUGGGAAAGAAAUCCUGUCGAUUAAUACUCGGUGGGGAUGACGGUACCCAAAGAAUAAGCACCGGCUAACUUCGUGCCAGCAGCCGCGGUAAUACGAAGGGUGCAAGCGUUACUCGGAAUUACUGGGCGUAAAGCGUGCGUAGGUGGUGGUUUAAGUCUGCUGUGAAAGCCCUGGGCUCAACCUGGGAAUUGCAGUGGAUACUGGAUUACUAGAGUGUGGUAGAGGGAUGCGGAAUUUCUGGUGUAGCAGUGAAAUGCGUAGAGAUCAGAAGGAACAUCCGUGGCGAAGGCGGCAUCCUGGGCCAACACUGACACUGAGGCACGAAAGCGUGGGGAGCAAACAGGAUUAGAUACCCUGGUAGUCCACGCCCUAAACGAUGCGAACUGGAUGUUGGGUGCAACUUGGCACCCAGUAUCGAAGCUAACGCGUUAAGUUCGCCGCCUGGGGAGUACGGUCGCAAGACUGAAACUCAAAGGAAUUGACGGGGGCCCGCACAAGCGGUGGAGUAUGUGGUUUAAUUCGAUG